rnacentral:rRNA from 1 species
UCAGGAUGAACGCUGGCGGCGUGCCUAACACGAUGCAAGUCGAGCGGAGAUAAGUUGAAGCCUAGCGAUUCUUAUCUUAGCGGCGGAUGGGUGAGUAACACGUGGGUAACCUGCCCUGCAACUGGGGAAUAACAGCUGGAAACGGCUGUUAAUGCCGCAUAUGCGCACGGAGCCGCAUGGCUUUGGGCGGAAAGAUUUAUCGGUGCAGGAUGGGCCCGCGCCGGAUUAACUAGUUGGCGGGGUAACGGCCCACCAAGGUGAUGAUCCGUAGCCGACCUGAGAGGGUGACCGGCCACAUUGGGACUGAGACACGGCCCAAACUCCUACGGGAGGCAGCAGUGGGGGAUAUUGCACAAUGGGGGAAACCCUGAUGCAGCGACGCCGCGUGAAGGAUGAAGUAUUUCGGUAUGUAAACUUCUAUCAGCGGGGAACAAGAUGACGGUACCCGACUAAGAAGCCCCGGCUAACUACGUGCCAGCCGCCGC